rnacentral:rRNA from 1 species
UAGGGAAUCUUCGGCAAUGGACGCAAGUCUGACCGGGCAACGCCGCGUGAGUGAAGAAGGUUUUCGGAUCGUAAAACUCUGUUGUUAGAGAAGAACAAGGACGUUAGUAACUGAACGUCCCCUGACGGUAUCUAACCAGAAAGCCACGGCUAACUACGUG